rnacentral:rRNA from 1 species
CCUACGGGUGGCAGCAGUGGGGAAUAUUGGGCAAUGGGCGCAAGCCUGACCCAGCAACGCCGCGUGAAGGAAGAAGGCCUUCGGGUUGUAAACUUCUUUUCUCAGGGACGAAGAAAGUGACGGUACCUGAGGUAUAAGCCACGGCUAACUACGGGCCAGCAGCCGCGGUAAUACGUAGGUGGCAAGCGUUAACCGGAUUUAUUGGGUGUAAAGGGCGUGUAGGCGGGAGGGCAAGUCAGAUGUGAAAACUCAGGGCCUAACCCUGGGCCUGCAUUUGAAACUGUGUUUCUUGAGUGCUGGAGAGGCAAUCGGAAUGCGGGGUGUAGCGGUGAAAUGCGUAGAUAUACGGCGGAACACCAGUGGCGAAGGCGGAUUGCUGGACAGUAACUGACGCUGAGGCGCGAAAGCGUGGGGAGCAAACAGGAUUAGAUACCCGGGUAGUC